CUCAAACCCUUAAAAUCUUAACCCUCAAACAAAUUUUUAGAGCCAUUUGGAGUAGAUCAAAGCUUGGGAAAUGCUUCUAAAGCUUUGGUGAAACCUUUUCCCUUGAGUUUGCUGGAGAUUUGUAGUUAAGAUUUGGGCAACCUAACUACUAAAGGAGGAUGAUUGAAGGCUAGAAGUUGAGAUUGAUUGUGGGACCACCUCCGAUUAUCACGAUGAGUUGGAUUUUAUUUGAAAUGCAUGUGAUGCAAACGCAUUGUUAAAUAUGCUACCAUGAUACUAGAAUUUGUAUGUACACCUAGAUGAAUGUGCUUAGGCCAAGAAAUUUUUUAUAUAUGUAUCUAUAUAUUUUAUAUGUGCUGUGUAUGUGUCUGCCUUAGUGCAAGCCACUUAGUGGCAUUCCUCUAAGCCUAAACUAUGAGGUCUAGUGAAUGUGAUGGACGUUUAGGAGUAGUUUACUCUAGACAUUGAACCUCAUGGAGGAUUAUGAAUAUUUGAUGCCUUAGAGAGUUAAGGGCAUUUAUAUGAGAUAGUAAGCUAGAAAUGUUUAGAGCUCAAAAAAGUAUCCUUUGUUAUAGAAUGUGGUAUGUGUGAUACCUAAGGUAUGAUGGGCUCGUUUAUGGAUUUAUAUUCUGUACAAUGAUGAGAAUUUCAGACGUCGAGUUGAUUUGAGGUUAAAUGGAGUCCUCACCUAGUGACUAUGUUCUGUUUCCCUAAGGAUGGUGGUAAAUAGGGACGGUGGUAUUAGUCUCGCCUAUGAUUUAUGCUUGCAGUGCUUUAAUGCAAUCCACUGAGAUUAUUUUGGAUGAUGAUUAUGUUCUCCAUCGACCACUUCUGCACUGAUGUUGCCAUCCGUUGACACUACUUCGAAUGAUGACUAUGCUUUCCAUCCGUUUCUUUGGCAUACGCAUGAUUUGACCGUCUGCCAGCAGCUUGACCUUAAGCAUGAUUUGUCUCUGUCGGUUGACCACCGAGCAUGAUUUAAUGAUGUCCAAGGAAAAACAUUUUAUGAUUGUGAUUUGAAUUAUGAGUGAUAUGAUAGAGCCUUAGAUAGCUUAGACAAAUUGGAUUUGAAUUUGGUAUAAUUCUCCGGUGACUAAGGUGUGCCUAUGGAGAAUAGCUUGUAAUGGCUUUGAAGACAAGCCUAGUGAUACACACCAUUAGUGAAGACUCUUUAGGCAUGAUUGAUAUGCCUCUAACAUUGAAGAUGCUUGUUAGAACAUUUGGUUGCAUUGAUAGUGUAGUACAUAUGUAUGCAUAUUUUGUCAAUUAUAUAUAUAUUUGAUUUAUCUGCAUCCUUCAUUAAGUAUUAUAUGGCUCACCCAUUUAAUGCACUAUGUGUAGAUAAAUAGGCCACAAGAUCACAUGGUAAAGGCCAUCCAUUGACAAACAAAUUUUGGCAUCUGAUAGGCUUCCAUUCUGAUAUGUUCACUCUACUUAGUCUAUCAUGAGCUUCCACAUCUAGUUUGGUUUGUACUGUAUUAGGCACACGGUGCCAUUUAGACUUAUGUAAGGGUCGUAAAGUACAAAUCCGCUUGAUGGUCAAUUUAUGGCCUUAUGUAUAUUGUAUUAAAUAUAGUGUAUGAACAAUAUGCCAAGGAUAAUUUUAUGUAUUUGAAUUUAAAUUAUAUUUUGAAAAUAUUUCAUGCAGAAUCCCUUAGCUAAUAAUGUAUGAUUUUGAUUUGAAUUUCUAAAGUUUACUCGAGUCUCGCGGGUCUUGCUUUUUGGGCUUAUGCAUUGGUCAUAGCUCUCUGAAUUGGGUCAUGACAAUUUGUAUCAAAGUACCUAGGUUUUAAAGCAUUCUAGGUUGUCUUCUGUUUGUCAACAGAGUGGCGAGAUUAGUGUAGAGUCUUGUUCACAGUUUGUGACUGCAACACAAGUCAUGAGCAGGAAGUUAUACGAAUCCCAAGUUUUUAGUAA